rnacentral:tRNA from 1 species
UUGUGGUUAGCUCAGGAAUUGGUUAGAGCUCCAUCCAUGCUUGCCAUUGCUGCAUGGGCGGGUAAUGGGUUCCGAAAGGAUCGCCGCGCCGGUUCGAAUCCGGCACCACAACCCA